UGGAGUUAGGAGCCUUGUCCCUUGCCUAAGUAUUUUCUUCCGCUCCUAAUUUUAUCGCCUUGCUAAGGAAGUCAAAAGCAAACUAAUUAAGUAAGAGCUAAAGGCCAAGUACUUGGACUGCGCUGGCCGGCUGCCCAGAGCUGCCAAGAUAACGGGAGGUUCAGGUGGCAUGAAGCAGAGCCCGUGGCUCUGAGCCCUCCCAGCCGGGCGUGCUCCUGCGGUGAGCCUCACACCAGCUGGGAGAUUCAGAAGGUGGUUGCAGAGGACAGAGAAGAUGAACGGAGGGUCUACACCUGUCACUACUGCAGCCCUACGUGACUGUUCCCAGGGAGGACUGUCCUUCAAAAAGGGGACUUUUCUCCUCUGGAUAGUGAAAAACGUGAUUUUCUACAGGGGACCACCAAAAGAAAUUAAACUCAUCUUGCAGAGGAGCCGAGCCUGUGACACGGAUGCAGUUCCUCCCACCCUACCCGUGGCUGGCGGCUGCGUGAAUGCUGUGGCCGUCUCCGGCCCU